GAUGAACGUUGGCGGCGUGCCUAACACAUGCAAGUCGAACGGAAAUAGCAAUAUUUGAGUGGCGCACGGGUGAGUAACACGUAGCUAAUCUACCUCAAAGCGCGGGAUAACGUGUCGAAAGACAGGCUAAUACCGCAUAAGCUCCCGAUCUGUAGAGGAUUGGGAGAAAAGGCGUAAGUCACUUUGAGAUGAGGCUGCGGCCCAUCAGCUAGUUGGUGCGGUAAUGGCGUACCAAGGCGACGACGGGUAGGGGACCUGAGAGGGUGACCCCCCACACUGGGACUGAGACACGGCCCAGACUCCUACGGGAGGCAGCAGUGAGGAAUAUUGCACAAUGGGCGAAAGCCUGAUGCAGCGACGCCGCGUGGGUGAAGAAGGUUUUCGGAUCGUAAAACCCUUUUCGUGUGACGAGCAAGGACGGUAGCACAGGAAUAAGUCUCGGCUAACUACGUG
rnacentral:rRNA from 1 species